ensembl:lncRNA novel transcript
GAGUCCGGCAUGCAGUGAGGGCCCAAUGAAUGUGGACCCUAAAUAUGCUUUUGGGCAAGGUAAAUAAUUGAGACUCCUUGAAGGAGUGAUUAUUAAACUAUUCUGGAUGAAAAUUUUUUGAACAUUUGGUGAAAAGUUGUGGAUUCACUCCCCAGAUAAGUUCACACCUCUGCAUAUACGUAAAGUGCUGGAUACAAUUUCAGGCCAUUCAGAGAUCCUUCUGAAAGUCCACCAUUGGAUGCCAGGAUAUGACAGGCUUUACUAGACCAAGAAGUUUUAACCAAUUAUUUAAGUAUAAACAUAUACACUCAAAGUCCUGUUGUUGCUUCAUCUUCUGAGUGUCUCAAAAGUCCUGUUCUGAAUAACUCCUCUGCUAGGAAGCUUCAGGCCCUUGAGAGGCUAGCCAUCAUUUCUGUACAUUUUCUGAAAUUUCAUUGUGUGCAUUAUAUAUAGUCUUAAGCAAUCCCAUAAUUGUUCAGCUCUCUGGACUCUCUUCUUCUUAGGCACAAGCAUCUCAUCUUUCCUAGCCCUGUGCAUGCAUACAUGUGUGAGGAGGUGUAUUUUCAUGCCAGCAUGCACAGAGCACAAUCUUCCUGAGGAUCAAUUUCCUUAUCUGUAAUAUGGAGACACCUUAUCAGCUCAGAGUUGCUAAGAAAUUGAAAUGAGAAUAUGAAUGUGAACAUUUUUUAAUUACUUAUAAAGGACCAUAAAAAUUGGUGACAUGUCAUUAUUAGUGUCAUCAUAUUGUUAUUAUGUAUAAAACCUCAAUGCAAUUUGCAGCCUUCCUUAUCUUUUCAGGAAGUUACUUACAAAUGUUUGUCCACUUCUAAAAUAAUGAUGUUAUAACUUUCCAAUAGCAUUACUCACAUUGGCAACAUCCUCUGCUCCAGAAGAAGAAAUUGUUCAUAGCCUGGGUCCAUCUUAUGAGUUUAAUGAGUAAUUCUGAGUCCCACAGGGCUGAAAUUGGGUGAGUUCACAGUGGCAU